GACGAACGCUGGCGGCGUGCUUAACACAUGCAAGUCGAGCGGUAAGGCCCUUUCGGGGGUACACGAGCGGCGAACGGGUGAGUAACACGUGGGUGACCUGCCCUCAGCUCUGGGAUAAGCCUGGGAAACCGGGUCUAAUACUGGAUAUGACUCCAUGACGCACGUUGUGGGGUGGAAAGCCUUGUGCGGCUGAGGAUGGGCCCGCGGCCUAUCAGCUUGUUGGUGGGGUGAUGGCCUACCAAGGCGACGACGGGUAGCCGGCCUGAGAGGGCGACCGGCCACACUGGGACUGAGACACGGCCCAGACUCCUACGGGAGGCAGCAGUGGGGAAUCUUGCGCAAUGGGCGAAAGCCUGACGCAGCGACGCCGCGUGAGGGAUGACGGCCUGGUGUAAC
rnacentral:rRNA from 1 species